GANAUCGGGAUAACACCUGGAAACAGAUGCUAAUACCGGAUAACAACAGAUGAUGCCUAUCAACUGUUUAAAAGAUGGUUCUGCUAUCACUCUUGGAUGGACCUGCGGUGCAUUAGCUAGUUGGUAGGGUAACGGCCUACCAAGGCGAUGAUGCAUAGCCGAGUUGAGAGACUGAUCGGCCACAUUGGGACUGAGACACGGCCCAAACUCCUACGGGAGGCAGCAGGC
rnacentral:rRNA from 1 species